rnacentral:rRNA from 1 species
GAUGAACGCUGGCGGCGUGCCUAAUACAUGCAAGUCGAGCGAACGGACGAGAAGCUUGCCUCUCUGAUGUUAGCGGCGGACGGGUGAGUAACACGUGGAUACCCUACCUAUAAGACUGGGAUAAAGUCGGGUAACCGGAGCUAACACCGGCUAAUAUUUUGAAACGCAUGGUUCAACAGUGAAAGACGGUCUUGCUGUCACUUAUAGAUGGAUCCGCGCUGCAUUAGCUAGUUGGUAAGGUAACGGCUUACCAAGGCAACGAUGCAUAGCCGACCUGAGAGGGUGAUCGGCCACACUGGAACUGAGACACGGUCCAGACUCCUACGGGAGGCAGCAGUAGGGAAUCUUCCGCAAUGGGCGAAAGCCUGACGGAGCAACGCCGCGUGAGUGAUGAAGGUCUUCGGAUCGUAAAACUCUGUUAUUAGGGAAGAACAUAUGUGUAAGUAACUGUGCACAUCUUGACGGUACCUAAUCAGAAAGCCACGGCUAACUACGUG